AGCUCCAAUAGCGUAUAUUAAAGUUGUUGCAGUUAAAAAGCUCGUAGUUGGAUUUCUGAUUGAGACAUCAGGUCGGGUCCGAGAGGAUCAUGUACUUUGAUUUUGUUUUGAUCAUCCUUGGGGAGAGCAUUUCUGGCAUUCAGUUGUCGGGAUUGGGAUCCUCAUCGUUUACUGUGAAAAAAUUAGAGUGUUCAAAGCAGGCCUCGGCCUCUGAAUACAUUAGCAUGGAAUAAUAAGAUAGGACUUUGGUGGUCUAUUUUGUUGGUUUGCACGCCAAAGUAAUGAUUAAUAGGGAUAGUUGGGGGUAUUCGUAUUCAAUUGUCAGAGGUGAAAUUCUUGGAUUUAUGGAAGACGAACUACUGCGAAAGCAUUUACCAAGGAUGUUUUCAUUAAUCAAGAA
rnacentral:rRNA from 1 species